AUUGAACGCUGGCGGCAGGCCUAACACAUGCAAGUCGAGCGAGCGGCGGACGGGUGAGUAAUGUCUGGGAAACUGCCUGAUGGAGGGGGAUAACUACUGGAAACGGUAUCUAAUACCGCAUACCAUCAGCUUUGCCCAGAUGGGAUUGGCUAGUAGGUGGGGUAACGGCUCACAUAGGCAACGAUCCCUAGCUGGUCUGAGAGGAUGACCAGCCACACUGGAACGGAGACACGGGCCAGACUCCUACGGGAGGCAGCAGUGGGGAAUAUUGCACAAUGGGCGAAAGCCUGAUGGAGCCAUGCCGCGUGUGUGAAGAAGGCCUUCGGGUUGUAAAGCACUGUCAGCGGGGAGGCGUUACCCGAAGAAGAAGCACCGGCUAACUCCGUGCCAGCAGCCGCGGUAAUAC
rnacentral:rRNA from 1 species